UGGUGAAACACUUCCAAAAAUGAACCCUAGA
rnacentral:piRNA from 1 species